AUCGCUUCUCGGCCUUUUGGCUCAGAUCAAGUGUAGUAUCUGUUCUUAUCAGUUUAAUAUCUGAUACGUCCCCCAUCGGGGGACUACAUAUUAAAUGGAUUUUUCGAACAGGGGAGUCGGAAAUGGGGCUUGCUCCGUCCGCUCCACGCAUCGACCCGGUAUUGCAGUACCUCCGGGAAUGGUGCAACACUU
rnacentral:snRNA from 1 species